rnacentral:lncRNA from 1 species
GUGGCUCUGGACUGGCUUGCUCUUGGAUCACCGAAGCCUCCUGGGUCUGGGUUUGGCUUCUCCGACUGUGGGGCCCUCAGCAGGAGGGGCAGGCAGGCAGGCUUAGCCUUUGUGAAGCUGGAUUUGGGAGCCAGAGGUGUGAACGUUGGCCAUCCUCCCCUCUGCUGGAUGCACCCGCGGCCUGGGAAGAUAAUUUAGGAAAGAGAAUGCUGCUAUUGUGAAACCCCUGAGUGUCUAUCUGGCCCUCCAGAGCUCUUGGGAGCAUCGGCUAUCCUCACCCUUUCUCCAAGUGGGAGCUGGGCUCUUCCUUUCCGGAGAUACUCUGGAUACUCCUUCACUUUGCUGGAUGACCUUGGGCAAGUUCCUGUCCCUCUCUGAGCCUUCACUUCCUCAUCUGUCAAAUGAAGACCUUGAUUCCUGCCUGGGCAGUUCUAGGGCUGGAGGGCAGGGGUGACAUGGACAAUCUUGGGCCUCCAUGGAGAUGAGGUGCUUGGCUUUCUUCCCAGGACCCACAGGCUGCCAUGGGAUUGAAAGCAUGUGGAGGUGGGAAAGGUGACAGAGUAGCAUGCCUCCAAGGCCCCCUUCAUCCCAGUCCUGCUGUGGGGAAAGUGGGCUUUGAACGGGAUCCAAGUCUAAGAUGUUUCCGGUGAGCUGCCAGGGACAAAGGGCUCUCAGACAUCUUGGGUCCCCAGUGGCUGGGGUGGGCAGGGGCUGAUUCAGCCAAAGGAGGCUCUAGCCCAGAACAGAGGAAGCCAGAGCCCCUGCCCCAUUCUUGAGCCUCACAGAGCUUGUCCCCGAGUUGAUUCACUGUGCAACACAGGCUUCAGAUUCAUGUAUUUGAAAGGUAUUCAUGAUGUUGUUCUCUUAUCACCUCUGCCCCUCACCUCUGUGAAUUAUCAUGAAGAGUCCUUUAAGAGUAUAAAUAGAAGACAAAGAAAGAUGCUAUUAAUGUUAUUUUGCCAAAAAUAUUUUUGUAGCAUAAUAUAUUAAUAAAAGAUAUUAUGAAUUCA